AGACAAAAGUUUGAAGAGAUAGGAUCUGAAUGCCGCAGCCUCAAAGAGGAGACGAUGAACAUUGCCAAGCAGAGUGAUUACAACCAAGUCAGGAUCAACCUAAUGCUUAGCAUCUUGAAAGCCCGUGAAGACAACAACUUUGCCCAUGCUGAUCACCUCACUGGGCUCCUCCGGUUGGUUAAAUUCCCUUCGCCAUUUCUUUUCUUAAUUCUUGGGAUAUUGGAUUCGAUAAUUAAUCUUGCUAAUGCUAGCUAUUACAAGGAGGGAAACAUAAGCUAACGAACUCAAAAUAAAAGAAUCAAAAUGCACUGUUGAUAAGUAAUCUUCUCUCAAUCAUUGUGUUUCCUAUUCGUUGUGUUGCCAGCGAGGAAAUGGAAAAGCAGGAACAAGGAAAGGCAGGCCUGGUUGGCUGACCAAUGAUCAUGGAAAACAAGGAGCAGUUUGCCUUUGCAGUGACUCCUGAUCGUCUUUUCUUAUUAAAAUGAAAUCAUCAGUCCUAAAUCGAGAUAUGUAUUGACAUUAGUCUUCCCUUGAUAUCCUUCUUCCUUUGAUGAAGUAUUCAUUUGAUUAAGGAUUUGCGUUCUGUGAUCCUAGUUGAAUGUUCUGAGUUAUAGUAUAUAUACUAGGUGAAUUGCCGGGCGAUGCCGCCGGUUGUUAUAUAAACGGUAUAAGCAUUCGGUUGAGUAUAACCUGAGGUAAUCGAAGAAGAAGAAGAUAGGCAGACAUAAUUAAACAAAAUGAAAAAAAAUACCAGAACUAUUGAGGUUAAACAAUGCAACCACAUGCUCUCUGUUAGAGAAACACAAAGUCUUAACUAGCCUGUUUAGCUUUGCAGUAUUCGGUUGUUUUUUUUAUUUGGAUUUUUAAAAUUUAUUUUUUAUAUUAAUAUAUUAAUUUAAAAAUAAAAAAAAAUUAUUACAAAAAUUAUUUUUUUAGAAAACAACAGUGUGGCAUCAAUAACAAACAGUCUCGAAAAGUCUCAAAUAUAAAGCCACGUGUGCAUAAUAAAUUGUAAUUAAUUUGGAAUUUAUUUUCUAAAUAUUACUAAUUUAAAUGUUAUAAAUCUCAAAGUAAUUUAUCUGAUUUUUAAUUUUAUAGUUUUGAAAAAUUAAUCAAAAUAUAAAUAAGUUGGUCUAGACAUUUAUGAUUAUAUAUAAAAAAAAACAAGAAGAAAAGAAAAAAUUAAAGAGCUCCAGACUUUUUGACCGUGCAUUCUCAUUUCACUUUGAAUUCCAGUGAAAUUAUUAUUUUCCUUUGGAAAAAAGAACUUGUUUAACUUUGUCUCAGGUGUAGAGAGGUGUUUUCAAUGGGAUUUAUUAGCUAUCAUUAUUUUUAAUAGGGAGAAGUUAGUUUGUUUGCGUUUUAAAUAAAGUGUAAUGAUUUAAACACUUUUAAAAGUAAAGAAAAAAAACUAGUAGAAAUAGUUUUAUGGUUUUAUAGUAAAAGAAUCAUACUAUCAUUAAAAAAAUAUAUUAUAAAACUUGCAUUUAAAAAUAUUUAGGUCUUUUCAUCUUUUCAACACGGUUAUUUUGUAAUUAUAUAUUUGGAUUAAAAACAAUUAAAUCUUUAAUCAUAUAUAAAAAAAAAAUUAAAUGGUUGAUGUGUGUCUCACAUGCGUUAAUAAGCGGAAAGUGCUUAUGCUCUUCGGGUUAUAUGUGUCUACCCUAUCAAUAGUUAAAAGUUUGUGUCAAUGACAAUGUUUGAAACGGUGGGUCAUCCUCUUUGUAGUGGUGGGAUGCUUGUUCAUGAAUGAAUUGCGGUUGAACUUCUUAUAAACAUUUUUUUUUCUCGCUCUCUCCUAGUUUAGAAAUUGACACCAACUCUUUUAAAAAUCUAUUAUCUAUUGUGUUCUUUAAUUUGUGUUUUUAUUAUUUUUUAUCCUUAUUUUAUUUAUUUUCAAUUGUUUUUACUUUUAAUGCAUUUUAAUCUUUAAUUGUUUUGCAAUUUCAUCCAUAUGAAUUUUAUUUUAUUUAAUUUUUAUAUCAAAUUUGAUUUUUUUUUUGUUUUUAUACUUUUCUAGAUUUAUUUUUCAAUUUUACCUCUCAUUAUUUUAUUUUUGUAUUCAAUUUUAAUCCUUAUUUUUUAUUGCUAUUUUUUGUUAUUUUCUUAAUUUUUUUCAUUUUUAAUUUUAGUCCCUCAUUGUUUGUUUGUUUGUUUCAUUUAGCUUUUAUGCUAGAUUUAGUCAUUGUUGUUUUGAUUGUUAUUUAUUUAGGCUUUUAAUUUUGGAUAAUUAAUGAUUUUGCUUAGUGAUUUUUUAUUGUUUUUUUUAUGAGGUAAUCUCGAUUUUAUGAACCAGGUCAUCAUUUUCGAGGAUUAAUCUGAUUUAACUUUUAUCUUUUCAUUUCUUAAAAAAAAAAAACCAAAAUGAUUAUUUUUUAAUUUCAUCAUUUUAUUUUAGGUUAUCAGGUCUAGAGUGUUUUUUUUUUUUUGCUUUCCUUUAUGUGGUGUUAUUCCGGUGUUAUAUCUUAGGUUAAGUUUUUUUCGAGUUAACCCAGGUUCAUUCAAGUUUUUUUUUUUUUGAAUCUUUUUCAAUUUAGUUUUUCCGAAUUUAAUCUCUUAAUAUUAAGUCAUUGAGUCUUGAAUUUUUGUUUUUCAAUGAAUUUAACAUGUUCUCAAAUCUUGAAUCUCAAAAUUUUCUUUUUUCUAUUUUUUAUAUUUUUUGAAAUUAAUUUUUUUAUCUCAUUAUUUAAAGUUAUGUUAUUAGACAUUCAAUUUUGUAAUAUUUUUUAUUUUUUUAUUGUAAAUUAUCAUGGAUAGUUAGUUAGUCAAAUUAACUUAGGUUAACAAAGUUUUUUUUUAAUAUUUUUUAUUUCACUAUCAUCUCGAGGUCAUUGUUUUUAAAAAAUUAUUUUUUUUAAUCUUGAUCUGGGUCGCAUGGUAGUCCAACUAAUCUGAGUUAAGUUAAAGUUUUUCUCAAUGUUUUUAUAAAUAAUUUGUUUUUUAAUUUUACCAGGCUCACAACAGUGUAGCGUAAAACUAAAAGUUGUAUCAUAAGAAGGUUGAGGACAUUUGUAGGUCGGCUAAUGCUGGCCAUAAAUAGCCAUGUAUGUGAAGCUAUGCAGGUGUGCUAGUGGACACAAAAACACUUAUGCAGAAAAGUGUGCUGAAUGUUCUGGUAGUUCCAAAAAGAAUCACAUAAAUAGUUGUGAAAUUUAAUAUUUUAAAGUUGUUUUAUGGGAAACAUGAUAUUUCAAAAAUAUAUUUGUUAAAUGACUUCACAAUUUACGAUGACGAGAGAAAAAUAAAAUAAAUACUUUAAUUAUACAUCAAAUCUAUCAUCAAAAUAACUCGACGAUGUGAAUCUAAUAAAAUUAAAGAAGUUCACCAAGUAGAUCACACUCAUUGAAGCUCUAAUUAUAAUAUCACUAGUAGCAUUAUAAAGUUCUGGACAAAAUAAAUCAAAUAUAAACAAUAAAGAUAAUCAAUGAUAAUGAUAAUUGAAGUGGGUCAUAUAUAAUAGGCGGAAAACAUGGUGAAAUCUAGGGUUAAGAUUAAAAAAGAUGAUGGAAGGGAAGAUGAAGGUGAAGAUGGAGAACAAUAAUCAGAUUAGCGAGAAGAACAGGUAUCAAAAUUCUGGAUGGAGAAGUUCCAGUUUUCCAGACUGCAACAGUAGAAAUGAUAAGAACACCUGCUAAGAAGGCCAGUAAUCUGUCGUGAAUGAAGAAAUUCAUGGAUGGUAGCAGCGAGAUUUAGCAUGAAGCAUUUAACUUGUUUUCUCUAUUGUAAUUCAUGUCGCUAGAGGUAAUAGAAUUGCACUUGUCUUGCCAGCAUUUAUAGAGAUAUGAAUCUGUUGAAAGGGAAAUUAAAUCGUAGAGUCAACCUUGUUGCGGAUUCCAAAGGGAAACCAUGAUGGUUUAACAGUUAAGCUUUGGUCAUCAAUGCAAUUGGUUCAGGUUGGGGUUUGGAAGAGGUUCGGUGAACUGCGGCGGCCGGAGCCUAAUCUGAUUAGGAGUGGGUACCCUAGGUUGGUUCGGUGGAACAAAUUGAAACUGGAAGUUGAGAAUGUUUCGUUGGUUCUAGACUCGGAUAAAGAGAGUUUUAGCUCUGGAAAACUGGGAUUUCCUCAAGUUUUAUGGAGAAAAAGAAAGGUGGGCCGGCGACUGUUGGUUCUAGUUUGAAAGACGAUUUAAUGGCAUUUGCUCGAGGCGUCAACGCUGUGUGGAGUUGGCUGUUCAGAACAGUAUUUACCUCAUAGGGUUGCAAUGCAAUUCGGAACCGACGAAGAUCUUUCAGGGUUGUGUUGGUCAAUGCUCUAAUUAACAGACCUGAGAUUGCAGAGAGCUUAAAGCUUUUGUUGAGAGCUUGAGCAGAUGAUCACACGAAUAAAAACAGCAAGAUUAAGACAAAAAUUGUUAACCUAGCUAGCCUUCUUCGUGAGAACGAUUUGCUUGAUUUUAUUUUAUUUGAAUUCAUGGCUUCUCUUCUCCUGUUGGCUAUGCUACUAACAUGGCAGGAGGCAUUGCAGCAGGUCCUAGAUGGAUAACUCCCGCCAUUAACAACAGAUGCAGAACAAGGUUAAAAGGAUAAUAGAAAUAAAUAUAUUCAUAAAGUAACCAUGCACUAUGGCAUGAAGUUAUUAUCACAGUGUGCAGACAAAUGCCGUGUGCUGCUGUACCCAACGCAGAGCCUACUAGGCGUUAUCUGUUCUGCCCACCCAAUCCUGACUAGAUAAGCACUUGAGAGUUUUUUUUCUUAUUUUAUGAAGUUGAUUUGAAGUGUUGAUUUGAUAUAAAAAUUUUAAGGAGAGAUAUUUUCCUUCAAAUAUUAAGACCAAUUUGAAAUUUGUAGAUUAACUUACAAAUUUUUAAUAAUUUUUAUUAAAAAUUAUCUUUUAUUUAUUUAUAUAAUAGUUUAAAUAAAAGCAAUAGAAACUAGUAGAAUUCAGCAUUAAUUAAAUUGAUUUAGAUUUAGAUAACUUUAUAAAUAUCAAAUCCAAAUAAAUUAUAACUAAUUUAAAAUCAAUCAAAUAUUAAAAGAAUUUUUUAAUAUUAAAACAAUGAUAUAUUAAAUCAAUCUAAAACUUUACACUUUAAUUUGUAAAACCCGUAACUUGAACCAUGAACUCCACUUGAAAAAUUAAAAAAAAUUAAAUUAUUAUGAUCAUCAAGCACAAACAACAAUAAUAAUUCAGGAUUUUUACUGAAAGUAGAAUCCAUCAUACAUGUUGUUGAUUAUUGAGUUAUAAUCGGUCCGUACAUGAAAAGGAAUGAAUUUAGAGUUAUUAAACUCUGUCGACCGGUGGAUGGACUGAUCUGGGUUUGUUAAAAGACCAACCGGUGCAAUGAUCCGGCAAAACCCAGUCAACCUGUAAGAUUCCACAUCGGGGGGUGAGGGGUGUGUUGCUGGCCUUAUAAGUGGUACUGGUUGCCGACUUGUUAUACGCGUUUUGGGACGUCAGGCUUAGAAUUAGGCUCGCGUCACCAGGAACAAAACCGUGAGGGCGGUAAGGCCUAAAGCGGACAAUAUAUGACAAGUUGGGCCGGGCCGUUACACGACCCGUGACCCAGAUAAAACCCGAAUUUUUUUUUUUAAAAUGUGGUUUUUCUUCUACACUCCCUUUUUUAUUUUUAUUUUAGUUGGUUAUUAACACUUUUUAAAGUUCACUAUAUAAAUACUAGAAAUAUAUAUUUUUUUUUCAAUGUGGGAUUGAAACCCUUUAGAAUAUACUUUAUGUUUCCAAGAAAAAAGUUAUUUUUUUAAUGUAAGAUUUCAAGCCCUUUCAUAUAUAUACUUUAUGAUCAUAAGAAAAAAGUUGUGUUUUUUUAAAGUGAGAUAUAAAACCCUUUAGUACAUAUACUCUAUGUUCCUAAGAAAAAAGUUUUUUCAAUAUGUGAUUUGAAGCCUUUUCGUAUAUAUACUCUAUAUUCACAAGAAAAAUAUUAUGUUUUUUCAAUGCGGGAUAAUAAGUUUUUUGGUUUAAAUAUUUCAACUUAAAAGGAUGACAUAAUAUAUUUUCAAUGUGAGAUUUGAAACUCUUUAAUAUAUAUAUAUAUACACACCUAUGUUUCCAAAAAAAAAAUUAUUUUUUUAAUGUGGGAUUUGAAGUCUUUUCAUAUAUAUAUCAUAUCGUCACAAAAAAAAAUUAUAUGUUUUUUAAUGUAAGCUUUAAAAAUUUUAUUAUACUUUACAAUCUUCCAAAAAAAAAAAAGUUUUGGAUUAAUCCAAUUAACCUGUCUACCUUUGUAGCUGAUUUAAUAACUUUGGGAUGUAAGGAAUAUCUAAAAUAGUCUUAGAACAACUCACAUUUGUUUGCUAUCGAUUUGAAAAGUGAAAGUUGCUCUCUCGUAAUGUCUGCUUUUAAAAUCAAAAGAAUCUAACAUUAAAUGCGGGGUAUUGUUGCCGUUGCAUAUUUUUAUUUUCUGUUUUAUAAAACUAAAAACAGUUUUUUUCAUAAUUUUCAGGUUUUUUCAUUUUGUUUUAAUGACCCCAGUUAACGUGUUUGAGCGUAAUUGUGUUUGAUUUUGAAAAUUUUUUUUACUCAGAAAGUAUGUUAUUUUUAAAAAAAUUAUUUUUAAAAUCAACACAUCAAAAUGAUUUGAAAACAUUAAAAACAUAUUAAUUUAAAAAAAAAAUUAAAUUUUUAAAAAUACUUAUACAGUGCCAAACAUGUUAUCACCACCUUUAUUUUCCCAUAUUUAGAAGUUAUUUAAAAAACAGAAACCAAAGAUACAAAACGGCAACCAUGACCAUGCCAGGGCUAAACAAAAGCUCUACAAGACCAAUCCACGAGAGUUAAACUCCAUUUAAUCAAGAUUUGAAUGUGCUGGGCAAUGAAAGCCCACGAUUAUAUAAAAUAAUAAAAAAAAAAAAAUCAAAGAGUGGAAUGCUUGACUAUAACUGUAAAACCAAGCCUAGUCCAAUAAAUCCAUGUAAAAAUCCGAUAAUUCAGAACCUAGAUUAAUUUGCUCAAUGAUCAUGAUUUAUGACCUAAUCAAUUUAAUUACAUUAAAGCUGAACAUGAUUUAGUCAAGAUUUAUCCUAGUUAAAAGAAAAAAAAAUUCCAUAAAAUCUUAACCUGAGAAUCGAGGUCAUUUUCUUCGAGCAAGCAACGAAUCUCAAACAAAAAAAAAAAAUACACUAGGUGAAAUCAUCAGCCCUCAACCUAGAUAUGUGUUGGAAUUCGUCUUCCCUUAAUAUCCUUCUUCCUUUGAUGAAGUUUUCAUUUGAUUAAGGAUUUGUGUUCUCUGUUCCAAGUUGAAUGUUUUGAGUGACAAUACAUACUAGGUGAAUUGCCAGGUGAUGCCGCCGGUUGUUAUAUAAACACGAUGUAAGCAUUCGGUUGAGUAUAACCGGCGGUACUCGAAGAAGAAGACACGCAGACAAAUUAAACAAAAUGAAAAAAAUAAUACCAGAAGUAUUGAGGUUAAACAAUGCAACCACGUGAUUUAUGUUAGAGAAACGUAAAGUGUUAACUAGCUUGUUUAGAUUUGCAGUAUUCGGUUGUUUUUUUUUAUUUUUAUUUAAUUUAUUUUUAAUAUUAAUUAUUAAUUUUAAAAUAAAAAAAUUAAUUAAAAAAUCAUUUUUUUUACUAAAAAAUAGUGUGGCUUCAAUAACAAACAGUUUGGAAAAGUCUCAAAUACAAAGCCACACGUGCAUAACAAAUCGUAAUUAACUUGAAGGUGUCAAGAUCUGAACUCUGAGCUUUGGGAGGUUAGUAGGAAUGUCGAGGGCAUUUGGAGGCAGAAAUCCCGCCAAAACUGGUGCAAAAUGGGGAUAAAAACACUCGGUUCUUCCAUCUUUCGACAAGCUUGAGGAAUGGUCGGAACCACAUUAGCAAGAUUGAGCAGAAUGGCAGAUUUUUUAGACUCUCCCAAAUGACAUCAAAGAGGGGUGCUGUCAACUUCUUCUCAAGUCUGUUUGCCAAGCCACAAUGAAGAGAAUUGAAAUGGGAGACUCAAGGUUUCUCUAAAUUUCAGAGAAAGUUCAGUUUGGUUAGAAAGACUACCUUCAUUGGAGGAAGUGAAGCAAGCCGUAUGGGAUUGUGAUGGUUCAAAAGCCCCGGUCCUGACGGGUUCACCUUCUCCUUCUAUAAAAAGGAAUGGAAUCUUAUCAGCCCUGACAUCUUUGUGAUGGUCACAGAAUUUUUCAGAACAGGUAAAUUACCAAAGGGGAUCGGCUCGUCCUUCGUGACUUUGAUCCAAAGACCAAGAGGCCGAGCACUUUCUCCCAAUUUCGACCAAUUAGUUUGAUUCAUGGGUUAUAUAAAAUAGUGGCAAAGCUCUUGUCCACUAGGCUCCGAAGCAUUCUACCAGAUGUGAUAAGUGUAAACCAGUCUGCUUUCAUUGCGGGCGUCAGAUUCUAGAUGGGUUCAUGAUAGCAAACGAGGUUGUCCAUAGUAUUCGUAGCAAAAGGACCACGGGUUUUUGCUAAAGGUAGAUUUUCAUAAAGCCUUCGACUCGAUUUUAUGGGAGCAUAUCGAUUCUACCAUGGGUUAUAUGGGUUUUGGAUCUCACUGGAGGAAACUGAUCUUUGAAUGCAUGUCCACUUCUAAAUUGGCCAUCCUGAUUAAUGGCUCACCAAGCAGAGAAUUCAGUAUGGAGAGGGGUCUCAGGCAAGGGGACCCCCUCUCUCCUUUCCUUUUUGACAUAGCAGUUCAGGGGUAACAGUUCUAUUCAACAGGGCAUCAGAUUCAGGUUACUUUAAAGGUUUGCAGACUUCGCAAGGACAUCACAUAACCCAUUUGCAAUAUGCAGAUGACACUCUUAUUUUCCUGCCAAUGAUUAUACCUCUCUACUGCAUGUCAAGAGGAUCCUCCGCUGGUUUGAGAUCAUUUCAGGACUGAAAGUUAAUUUCUAUAAAAGCUCACUUAUAGGAAUUAAUUUGGAUAACGAAUACACUUCAGGUCUGGCUAACACAAUUUUGUCGCAGUGACUCCUUUCCCAGUCAGAUACCUUGGGUUGCCUCUUGGUGCUAACCCAAAUAGGCUCUCCACUUGGAAACCGGUAUUGUCCACAAUCAGAGCAAAGUUAAGCAAAUGGAAAGGGAAGUUUUUGAGCAUGGCCGGAAGGAUAUGUCUUAUUAAAUCUGUCUUAAACUCUCUACCUCUAUACUAUAUGUCGGUCUUUACUAUGCCAAAGGGCAUUGCAAAAGCAAUAUCCUCAAUCACCGUUUUUUCUCUGGAAGGGCUCCUCAAAUUCACAUGGUAUUUGUAAGGUUGCUUGGCAUAAGGUAAUUAAGAGUAAGCCACUUGGAGGUCUCGGGCUUGGUUCUAUUCACAGUAAAAAUCUGGCUCUGAUGUUUAAAUGGCUUUGGAACCUUGACAAAGGAGUGGCAGGAGGUUGGCAAGAACUCAUCUUACGAAAGUACCGGCCACAUUUUACAAAUGGCCUUCCUGUGUUUGCAGGUUCUUUAUCUCCAACUUGGCGUGGCAUGGUAUCUGCAAUUUCCUUAAAUCACAGCAUAGCCGCUCCCAUCCAAUCCAAUGUUGGGUUUAAGGUGGGUGAUGGGAGAAACAUCAGGUUUUGGUCUGAUUCUUGGCUAGGCUAUGCAGCCCCUCUCCAGUUCAUGUUCCCUAGGCUCUACAACCUCUCCCUGCAGCAAUCUUUAAGCGUUGCAGAAGUUCAUAACCCAACAGAUAACUCAAUCAAUCUUUCUUGGAGAAGACCCCUUCGAUCCCGAGAACUCUGCAUGUGUGAAAGCUUGAUAGCAGAAGUGGAACGUGGCCUAGUCUUCUCUGAUGGUGAAGACAACAAGAUUUGGAAACACCAUAGCUCCAACAAUUACACAGUCUCCUCUGGGUGCCAUCUCUUUGACGGUUUAAAUGUUUCAGGACAUCUUCACUCCCCUGCUUUGCUUUGGAAAGGGUUUGCGCCUCCAAAAAUAGAUGUGUUCAUAUGGCUUCUUUUCAAUGGCAGUGUCUGCACAAAGGGUUUCUUAGCUGAGAGGAGAAUCAUCAAUUAUGAGGAAGCUCUUUGUCCUUUCUGCUGCAAGGAGAUUGAGACUAUACAUCAUCUCUUCCAUCUUUGUCCAAAAUCAUGGUCUCUUUGGGGCAGACUAUUUAGUUGGUUUGGGUGUGUAGGUUGUCUGCCAAAAGACCAUAUGAUAACCUUCAGGAAUGGUCCAACAUGGUAAAAAGGAAAAUUUCAGCGUCAGGCAAUUACCCUUCUCUGUAAAGGAUUAUACUGGUCAAUUUGGAUAGCGCGCAACCACAUGAUCUUUGACAACAAAACUCCAGACUGGGAUGUGAUUUUUGACCUCACCUUUCAUCAGUUAGCCUUUUGGUUGAAGUCCUUUGUUAAAAAUUUCAGCUAUAUAAGCUCUGAUCUUUAUAGGAAUCCUGAAUGUAUCAUGAACUGGACUAACUAGUCAGGUCUAUAGAUUCCUUGUUUUCUUAAUGUUUUUUUAAUUCCCCAUGUAAUCUUCCUUAGCAGCCCUCAUCUCUUUAAUGGGGACGUAUUAUUUAUAAUAUUCUCGAUUACUAUAUAUAUAAAAAAAACUUGAAGGUGUCACCCAAUUAAUUAGAUUUUUAGUUUGCUUUCGAGAUAUUAGUAGUUCGAGUUCUGUAAAUCUUAAAAUUACUAGAGGUUUAUUUGGUUGUUACCUUCAGAGCCUGAACCUCUAGAAAUUAGUCGAGUUACACGUAAACUGACUUUUAUUUUUAAUUUAGUCUCUCAUUGUUUUUUUCAUUUAACUUUUAUGCUAGAUUUAGUCAUUGUUGUUUCGAUUGCUAUUUAUUUUAUUUUUAAAUUUUGGAUGAUUAAGGAUUAUGCUUAGUGAUUUUUUAUUAUUUGCCUUUAAUGAUAUAAUCUCGAUCUAAUGAACCGGGUUACUAUUUCGAGGAUUAAUUCGAUUUCACUUUGGUUUUUUAUUUAUUUUUUUAAACAAAAUAAUUACUUUUUAAUUUCAUCAUUUGAUUUUAGGUUAUUAGGUCUAAAUUUUUUUUUUCUCCUUUAUGUGGUGUUAUUCUGGUGUUAUAUCUUAGGUUGAGUGUUUUUCGAGAUAACUCAGGUUUUUUUUAAUUUAGUUUAUUUAGUUUAUUUUAUUUAAUUUUUUAAUAUUAAAUUAUUGAACCUUAAAAUUUAUAUUUUGUUUUGUAUUUUUUUUAUAAGUUUAACAUGAUCUUAAUGUCGUUGUUUAUUUUUUAAAUUAAUUUUUUUAAUCUGGAACUCCCAUCAUGGGUCGCAUGGUAGUCCAACUAAUCUGAGUUAAGUUAAAGUUUUUUCAAAUUUUUUUUUUUUACCAGUCGCACUGUGUAGCGUAAAACUAAAAGUUGUAUCAGAAGAAAUGUGUAGGACAUGUGUAGGUCGGCUAAUGCUGGCCAUAAAUAGCCAUGUCUGUGAAGCUAUGCAGGUGUGCUAGUGGAGACAGAAACACUUAUGCAGAAAAGUGUGACGUAUGUUCCGGUAGUUCCAAAAAGAAUCAGAUAAAUAGUUGAGAAAUUUAAUAUUUUAAAGUUGUUUUAUGGGAAACAUGAUAUUUCAAAAAUAUAUUUGUUAAAUGACUUCACAAUUUACGAUGACGAGAGAAAAAUAAAAUAAAUACUUUAAUUAUACAACAAAUCUAUCAUAAAAAAAACUCGACCAUGUGAAUCAAAUAAAAUUAAAGAAGUUCACCAAGUAGAUCACACUCAUUGAAGCUCUAAUUAUAAUAUCACUAGCAGCAUUAUAAAGUUCUGGACAAAAUAAAUCAAAUAUAAACAAUAAAGAUAAUCAAUGAUAAUGAUAAUUGAAAUGGGUCAUAUAUAAUAGGCGGAAAACAUGGUGAAAUCUAGGGUUAAGAUUAAAAAAGAUGAUGGAAGGGAAGAUGAAGGUGAAGAUGAAGAACAAUAAUCAGAUUAGCGAGAAGAACAGGUAUCAAAAUUCUGGAUGGAGAAGUUCCAGUUUUCCAGACUGCAACAGUAGAAAUGAUAAGAACACCUGCUAAGAAGGCCAGUAAUCUGUCGUGAAUGAAGAAAUUCAUGGAUGGUAGCAGCGAGAUUUAGCAUGAAGCAUUUAACUUGUUUUCUCUAUUGUAAUUCAUGUCGCUAGAGGUAAUAGAAUUGCACUUGUCUUGCCAGCAUUUAUAGAGAUAUGAAUCUGUUGAAAGGGAAAUUAAAUCGUAGAGUCAACCUUGUUGCGGAUUCCAAAGGGAAACCAUGAUGGUUUAACAGUUAAGCUUUGGUCAUCAAUGCAAUUGGUUCAGGUUGGGGUUUGGAAGAGGUUCGGUGAACUGCGGCGGCCGGAGCCUAAUCUGAUUAGGAGUGGGUACCCUAGGUUGGUUCGGUGGAACAAAUUGAAACUGGAAGUUGAGAAUGUUUCGUUGGUUCUAGACUCGGAUAAAGAGAGUUUUAGCUCUGGAAAACUGGGAUUUCCUCAAGUUUUAUGGAGAAAAAGAAAGGUGGGCCGGCGACUGUUGGUUCUAGUUUGAAAGACGAUUUAAUGGCAUUUGCUCGAGGCGUCAACGCUGUGUGGAGUUGGCUGUUCAGAACAGUAUUUACCUCAUAGGGUUGCAAUGCAAUUCGGAACCGACGAAGAUCUUUCAGGGUUGUGUUGGUCAAUGCUCUAAUUAACAGACCUACGAUUGCAUAGAGCUUAAAGCUUUUCUUGAGCAGAUGGUCACACGAAUAAAAACAGCAAGAUUAAGACAAAAAUUGUUCACCUAGCUAGCCUUCUUCGUGAGAACGAUUUGCUUGAUUUUAUUUUAUUUGAAUUCAUGGCUUCUCUUCUCCUGUUGGCAUUGCAGCAGGUUCCUAUAUGGAUAACUCCCGCCAUUGACAACAGAUGCAGAACAAGGUUAAAAGGAUAAAAGAAAUAAAUAUAUUCAUAUAGUAACCAUGCACUAUGGCAUGAAGUUAUUAGCAUUUAUCACAGUGUGCAGACAAAUGCCGUGUGCUGCUGGACCCAAUGCAGAGUCUACUAGGCGUUAUCUGUUCUGCCCAUCCAAUCCUUACCAGAUAAGCACUUGAGAGUUUUUUUUUUUAUUCUAUCCCGUUGAUUUGAAGUGUUGUUUUGAUAUAAAUUUUUUAAGGAAGAGAUAUUUUUCUUUAAUAUUAAUACCAAUUUGAUAUUUGUAUUUUUGUUUAAUAAUUUUAUUUUUUAAAAAUAUCUUUUAUUUGUUUAUAUAAUAAUUUAAAUAAAAGCAAUAGAAACUAGUAGAAUUCAGCAUUAAUUAAAUAUUGUGAUGAUGUUUGAUUCAUGUUGUGAUAACUUUAUAAAUAUUAAAUUAAAACAAAUUAUGAUGACUAAUUUAAAAUUAAUUAAUUAUUAAAAGAGUUUUUUAAUAUUAAAACGAUGAUAUAUUAAAUCAAUCUAAAUUUUACGGUUUAAUUUAUAAAACCCAUAACUUGAAUCAUGAACUCUACUUGAAAAAUUAAAAAAAACAUUAAGGUUGUUAUGAUGAUAAAGCACAAACAACAAUUAUAAUUCAAGAUUUUGACUAAAAGUGGAAUCCAUUAUACAUGAGUAUUGAUUAUUGAGCUAUAACCAGUCCGUAUAUGAAAAGGAAUGAAUUUAGCAAAGUUAUUAAACUCGGUCGACCUAGUGGCUGGACUGGUCUGGGUUUGUUAAAAGACAAAUCAGUGCAAUGACCCGGCAAAACCUGGUCAACCCAUGACCUGGAUGAGACUCGACAUUUUUUUUUUUCAAAUGUGGUUUUUCUUUUAUAACUUUUUUUUUCAUAUUUUUUUAGUUGGUUAUUAACACUUUUUAUAGUUCACUAUAUAAAUACUAGAAAAAUAUUUUAUUUUUUCAAUGUGGAAUUUGAAACCCUUUAGUAUAUACUCUAUGUUCCCAAGAAAAAAAAUUAUUUUUUUAAUGUGGGAUUUCAAGCCCUUUCAUAUAUAUAUAUUUUAUGUUCAUAAGAAAAAAAUUAUGUUUUUUCAAAGUGAGAUUUGAAACCAUUUAGCAUAUACACUCUAUAUUUCUAAGAAAAAAGUUGUUUUUUCAAUAUGUAAUUUGAAGUUCUUUCGUAUAUAUACUCCAUGUUCACAAGAAAAAUGUUAUGUCUUUUCAAUAUGGGAUAACAAACGUUUUGGUUUAAAUACUUCAACUUAAAAGGAUGACAUAAUAUCUUUUCAAUGUGAGAUUUGAAGCCCUUUAAUAUAUAUACCUAUGUUCCUAAGAAAAAAAAUUAUUUUUUCAAUGUAGGAUUUGAAGUCCUUUUGUAUAUAUGCUCUAUUUUCACAAGAAAAAAGUUAUGUAUUUUUCAAUGUAAGAUUUGAAACUUUUUAUUAUACUUUAUCUUUACAAAAAAAUAAAUUUAAAUUAAUCCAAUUAACCUGUCUACCUUUAGAGCUGAUUUAAUAAUUUUGGGAUGGAAGGAAUAUUUAAAAUAGUCUUAGAACAAGUCACAUUUGUUUGCUAUCGAUUUGAAAAGAGAAAGUUGCUCUCUCGUAAUGUCUAGUUUUAAAAUCAAAAGAAUCCAACAGAAAACGGCAACCAUGACCAUGCCAAAAGGGCUUAAACAAAAGCUCUACAGGAUCAAUCCACGAAAGUUAAACUCCAUUGAAUCAAGAUUUGAAUGUGCUGGGCAAUGAAAGCCCACAAUUAUAUAAAAUAAAAAAAUAAAAUUCAAAAAGAGUACUGGAAUGCUUGACUAUAACUGUAAAACCAAGCCAAGUCCAAUAAAUCUAUGUAAAAAUGUGAUAAUUCAGAACCUAGAUUAAUUGCUAGCUCAGUUGAUGAUCACGAUUUAUGACCUAACCAAUUUAAUUACAUUAAUGCUUACCAUGAUUUAGUCAAGAUUUAUCCUAGUCAAAAGAAAAAAGAAAUUCCAUAAAAUCUUAACCUGAUAAUCGGGGUCAUUUUCUUCGAGCAAGCAACGAAUCUCCAUAAAAUUUUAAACAUAAUUAGUGUAUAGAUUAAUUGGAAUCUUACCAAACAUAUAUAUAUAGAUCCUUCUAGCAUUUUGUCUUUAUUUGUAGUCUCCCUGCAUUUUGUAGUAGCAUGUCAUAUAUAUAUAUAUAUAUAUAUAUAAUUUGUACCAGAUGAAACAAAACAAUUCUCAAUACGUGGUGUUAUUAUACUUGAGAAUGAUUUAAAAGAUUGGGUCACAGGUUUCCAGCCUAUAUACUGAUUUUAUUAAAAGAACGAAGAAAUAAAUGCAAGUAAAUGUAAACAGAUUUCUGAUGCGAAUGAACAAGGCAAGACCAAUAAUGUCAGGAUCCUUGAUCAAACACAGAGCAUACUUAAUAAAGUAUAACAAGAAUUUAAAUGAUGAAAAUAAAAUGUUACUUAAAUUUGUAAUGUAAAUCAAUACAAGAGAUAUUGAUUAUAGAGGAGAGUGGAUAUGGGUUACAGGUAUGAGUUACAAGGGAGAAUAAAAUUUUCUCAGGGAAAAUGAUAGUCUGCCUUCUGAGGAUUUAAAAGUCCCCUUUUAUAGACGAGUUGACAUGGAAGAGGCCAAAAUGUGUUGUUGGGAAAGCUUGGAGAUUCCGUCAGAACCCAUGUGAACCCAUGUGGUAUUGCCUACCAUGAUUGGGUGAAGACAAAAUAAAAAAUGCCCAUGUUUUUUGUGGGACUUUCAUCUGUUGUCUUCUUGUCAUCGACACUGGAUUUGUUUGUUUGUAGUAGCAUGUGAUAUUUGUAAGAAAAAGCCUAAACCAAAUGGGCUUAAAGUUAAAAAGGACUCAAAACAGUUGAGUCGAAAAGAUAUGGGCUCUAAAGAGAUGAGCCUGAGAAAGCCUGAAAUACUCCUUUUUUUUAAUGUCGCUUGAUAGGUGGUAGGAUACCAAAACAGUCAUCUUCAUUAUCAUCUCCAAGGAAAAUGGUAGGAGAUAUCGAUCCAGAUGAGCUGGAUUGAGACAAGACCGUUUUCGGGUCUUGGCUUUGUAUAAUGCUUUGGACUAUUUGUGUGUAUUCUUCUUCAGUUCUAGUAGAGGCAAGAAGAGCUGUUGUUUGAGCCUUUCGGGCUAGAAACUUUGAUUGAGGAUGAUGAUCAAUGAUGGGAGCUGUUUGAUGUUUUUGUAACCAUUCCGUAACAGCUAAUUUGGAACUUUUGGAUUCAGUUGCAAAAGAAUCCCACCAUUUGAUUUUGAACUUGCGAACAAGUACUGGAUGUUCGUUUUGUAGAUUAUAAUCAUAAAACCAUGAACAUACCCAUGGCACAAAAAAAUUUGUAUAGAAAAUGAGAAGGGAAGAGAACUUCCUUUCAUAAGGAGCUAGUUAAAAUUUAUUUUUGAAAUGGAGGUAACCGUUUUCAACUAGAGGAUGGUCUUUGAGGUAGUCAACAUGACAACCAUAGUAGUCCCACCAUUGGAGGAACCAGAGUGGGAGGUUUGUAGUAUUCAUGUCAUUAUGGAAGUAGAAAAGCCAAGAAUGACUAUGGUUUGGAUUUUGUGGUAGGAAGGCAUUGAACCAUGCAUGUUGGUAAUCCCAGUACGUAUAGGAAAUAUUGAAGUCCUGGGGUUUGUACGGAAAUGUAUGGGGAAUGAGAGAGGUUGAUGUAAGGGUUGUCCCCAAUCUUUAGGGUGAAUGACUUUGUGAAUGAUACAUGUAGAAUAUGCCGGUUCUGUGUGAUCAGAAUGAAGUUUGAAGUAUUUGAACUUGACAGAAUUGGUAAUUUCAAGUAUUGUAGCAUAAUAGGAUUAUGGUUUGUCUAAAUUCCAGGGUUUGUAGUACCAAUGUGAAGGGAAAAUUUUGGAAGCAGUAAUGGAAGGGUUUUCAUGAUAAAAUCCUUCUUCCAUAGUUAAAAUAUUUUGGAAAGUAGUUUUGAAAAUAUAUUUGGAUUUGGUUUUGGGAAACUGGUUUGUUGUAAAGAAAGGAGGGGUUUUGAAGCAAAAAGGCCUCCUUGAGGUUUUGAAAAUGAUUUGGAAAUGCUACCUGUUUGAGAUAUAGAGUCAGUGGAGGCCUGUUGAGACACUUUUUGUAAUGCCAAGAGUAAUUUUGGUGAUUUGGAUAUAGUGUCAACCCAAUAUUGAACUGCGUCUGUUUGUACAUGUGGUGGUUUUAUAGUUUCUUCUUCUUCAAUAACUAUCUCAUACCAGGAUUUGAUGGGUUUGACAGCUAAGAUAAUUGAAGACAUGAGUUUUGUAGAAGGCUUGGGGCUCUCUGAUUUUAUAAGUUGGGUUUGAGGGGCUUUCCCCUUGUCUUUGGCCUUUGCUUUAGGAGGCAUCAAUACCUGUUUUGAAGGAAUUCUCGGGUUAGGAAAUCAGAAUGGAAUUUGAAUCUCCUUUAAUGUAGACAAUAUCGAAAUAAAAAAUACUUAAAAUAGCUUGCCAUCUAGCAAAAAUCUGUUUUGAAGCAAGAUUUUGGACAUCUUUUUGUAGAACUUUUUUUGCAAAUUUGCAGUCAACACGUGAAAGAAAUUUUUGAUUUAAUAAAUCACUUUGAAAUUUUGUAAUACAAAGAACAAUUGAAAGGAUCUUAUUUUUUAUAGUAGAGUAAUUUUUAUGGCAAUCAUUCCAGUUGGCGGAUGUGUAUUGGGGGAUUUGUUCUUUGUCAUCUUGUACUUGUUUAAGAAUCCCACCAUAUCUUAGGUUAGAGGCAUUGGUCUCGACAAUUUCAGGAGCUAACGGGUUAGCUAAAUGGAGGAGAGGAAUAGUUUGGACCUUUUUCUUAAUCUGUUUGACUAGGUCGGUAUGGAGAUCGAACUAAGGAAUGAGGUUUGUUCGUAACCUGUCAUGUAAAGGUUUGGCUAGACCGCUAAUACUUGGAUAGUAGUUUAGAACAUAAUUAAGACUGGUUAAAAACCUUUGCAAUUGGGUUUUAUCGGUGAUCUUAUCAGGAAAUUUAUUUAUAAGGGUUAGAGACCUUUCUAUUGGUGUUACAGUACCUUGGAAAAUAUAAUGGCCUAGGAAAUGGACACGAGUUUGGAAGAGAGAAAAUUUUGUUUUAGAAACAACUAACCAUUUUGUUUUGCAGUAUGAAAGGAAGUAUGUAGAUGUUUGAAAUGUUGAUCUAUAAAAUGUAAAAAAAUAAGCACAUUGUCAAUGUAAACAAUGCAGAACUUUGAAUGUGCAUUGAAGAUGUUAUUCAUGAUGUGUUGAAAUUCAGAUGAUGUAUUUUUUUAGGCCAAAUGGCAUGACAUUCCAUUUGUAUUGGCCAAAAGGAACUGUAAAAGCAGUUUUGUAUCUAUCUUUGGGAUCAAUCUGGAUUUGCCAAAAUCCAGAUUUCAUAUCGAACUUAGAAAAUAUGAAUGCAGAGUGCAAUUUUUGUAACAAAUCUUUUUUGUUGGGGAUUAGAUAUCUGAUCCAUUUGAGAGCAGAAUUUAAAAGUUUGUAAUUGAUCACAAGUCUUGGUGUGCCUUUUUCGAUUUCAGAGUUUUUAUUCACAUAAAAGGCUGCACACAACCAGGGUGAUCGAGACUUUUGGAUAAGACCUUUUGACUCGCGAUCGUGGAUUUCAAGUCUGCAAUGUUGUUCUAAAUUAACAUUCAUUUGGAUAGGUCUUGCUUUUGUAGGUAUAAGUUUUUUUGAAAAAAUAUCUUCAUAUGGAAGAUCAAAGAUGUGUUGUUUUCUUUUUCAAAAAGCAUUAGGUAAGUCUGAACAGAUUUGUUGUUCAAUCUUAUUUUGUAAAUCAAGGAUUUUCUUUUUUAAAUCAGAGUUUUGUAAUUCUUUGUUUAUACGACAAAAAGAAACACGGUUUUGCAAAUCAUGGAAAUGGAAUUGUUUUCCAUGAAUCUGUGCAUUGAUAUGAUAAGUAUGUAUGGAGCAUGCUCUAAUCAAAUUUAAAUUUCUAGUCUUAGAUUUCUCUAAGAAUGGGAAAACAAGUUUGAUGCUAUUGAUUUUGGAAGUAAUACAAUUAUGAUGUGCCUGAUAUGGAGUGAUCUUGUGAAUGAAUAGAGUGCCAAGAAUGAUGGUAUGAUUAAUAAGUUUUUGUAACAACAAAGAAUGUUUUAAGAGAAAUGCCUUUGUUGAAAACAUAGGCUUGAGUUUUGCCUGUAAUAUGUAAUUUUAAAUUAUUAGCAGCAGAGAGUUGUUCAAAGGUAUUUUGUAAAAAUCAUUUUGGAGCCACGCCUUCUUUGAUGCAUUUCAAAUAUGCACCUGUGUCAAAUAAGGUAAUAGUGUCAAGUUUGAAAUCUUAUAAGAAAAUGAGAGUAAUUCUAAUUAAAUAUUUUUUGGAAGAUAUUUGUGUUAAUACGUUAAGGAAAUCAUCUAGAAUAUGCUCAAUAUUUGUAAGUGCAUGUGGCAAUGCAUGAGAUUCGAUGGUUUAAUCUUCUGUAUCAGACUUAGUAUCAGACUAGCUUUCAAUUCUGGACAGGAGAUGUUGUAAUAUGGCAGUCUUUUUGUUGGGCUUGUUUGAGGGUUUGUAAUUCGGAUUUGAGGGUUUUGAUCUCAGAAUGUAAUUCUGGAAUGGUGACAGUGGUUUUGGAUUUCUUUUUGUUAAGGAUCUUUGUAAGGUCAUAUGUACUAGUGCUGGUAGAGGGUAAUAUAGAGCGGUUUGGAGGGUUUGAUGGAAAGUGCUCUGGUUGGUUGAAAUCUUUCAAUAACUUAUCUAAGUAGGUUUUUUGAAGUUGAGGAUCAUCAAGUCUUUUGAUAACCUCAAGAAUGAAUUUCUGGUCUUGGGUUAAGAUGUUAAUUUGUUUGAAAUUUAUAGAGGCAUCUGAAGUAGCCCUGGUAGUUGCUAUUUUAUCGAUUUGAAAUUCUUCUUCAGAAGUGUCUGAAGGAGAGUGGUAUUUGGUCAGUGGCUUCAAUGUAAAGAUUUUGUAUUUGGUUGAUAAUAUCUUCAUCUAUUUGGAACUCAUGAAGUUUGGUAUUAACUUUGCAGAAACAAGAUGUAUGUCCUUUCUGGUUACAUUUGUAACAAAUAAUGUUUUUAAGGUCAAAUUUUGAUUUGGGUUUUGACUGGAAAGGUCUACAGGGUUUGGUAAAUUUAUAGGACUUUUUAUAGUAAGGUUGAUCUGGUUUGGAAUAAAACUAUUUUCAUCGGUCGACAAGCUCCUCUCUUUAUCCACUCAGUCUUGAAAAGUAUCUAAGCUAAAUUCAGUUAUAUUUUCAUGUUCCAAUUAAAUAUUUUAUUAUUAUUAUUAUUAUUCCCAAAGGAAAAUGUUUUUCUUUUUAUCAAGCAUGUGUAUCCAAUCAUGAUUUUAUAAGAAAAAUAAGAAUAAGAGAUCUUUUAGAUAGAGCUGGACAUAAAUGUUGGCUAGGUAAAUGUUUUGUUUGAAUCCUGUAGACCAUUCCUAUGAGGAUGGUGAGAGGAGGGCUCCAAUUCGUAGAAAAAAAACGAUUCCUUGAGGUUAUCCUGCACAUGGAGAAAAAAAGUAGAAAAUAGAAUUUGAAACAGAAAGUUGAGAAUGUUUCCGUUGGUUCUAGACUCGGGAAAAGAGAGUUUUAGCUCUGGAGAACUGGGAUUUCCUCAAGUUUUAUGGAGAAAUCCCAGUUUUUGGUCAAUGCUCUCAUUAACAGACCUGAGAUUGCAUAGAGCUUAAAGCUUUUCUUGAGCAGAUGAUCACACGAAUAAAAACAGCAAGAUUAGGACUAAAAUUGUUAACCUAGCCUUCUUCGUGAGAAUGAUUUGGAUGAUUUUGUUUGCUUUGCUAGUUAUGUUAGCAACUCAAGCUUGGCUUUGACAAAUGAAGCAGAUGAAAGUGUUUGGGCUUUAAGCUUUUCAUGACCACCCCGCCGGAGAUUGAAUUCAUGGCUUCUCUUCUUCUGUUGGCUCUGCUACUAACAUGGUAGUAGAGCUUUCGACUGUCAGGCAUGGCGUCAGUACCGCAAAGAGAGGCUGCCCCCCCCUUGAAGUUGAAUAUGACUCAUCGGAAGCUCUUCGAUGCCAGUCUUCACAUCAAAAUUGCUAGUUUAACUCAUCAAAAUUGUUAUUUGUAUCUCUAACAGUUUAAUAUUUUUAUUUAUUUUUAUUUAAUUAGAUAAUAAUAAAAAUGAAAAUUUAUAAAAUUAAAUAUUUGAUUGAAAGUGUAAUAACUUUAUAAAAUAAUAAAUUAUAAUAACAAAAAAAAAUUGCUAUGAUGAAGAGUCACCAUAAUAUUUUUCAAUUCUAAAGAGAGCAGUAUAUAAUUCUUGAAGGGACAGUAUGAAAACGACAAUAAUAAUUAAAGAUUUUUGUGAAAAUUAAAUUUAUUAUAUAUGCUGUUGGUUCUGUUUUAUUUAUAAAAAAAAUAUAUUUAAAUAUUUAAAGGAGUUAUUUGAAAAAAAAAUAUAGGCCCACGAGGGGUGGGCUGGUUUAAAUUUCUGGCGUUAUCGUACGAUUACACGCGAAAAUCUACCAAGCUCGGGCGGACGGAAGAUUUGAUGUUGAUUACAGAUCCGACCCUGUAUAAAUUAACUUCUAUCGUGAAGAGCCCUAGUCAUUGUAAACACAACUUUCAAUUUCAAUAGAAAGGAGGAAGUCAGUCAAUACGGGUGUCUGCAGCUAUGGAUUCGAUCAAGCCUUUAGCCCCGAGCCGCCGCGUUUCCAAGUCCAAACACAGGAAACAAUGGGUACGAAUCAAAUCUAGUUAUAUUUCUAUGUUUUUCUUAAAAAAAAGAUUAUUCUUAAUGCUUGUUUCUUGACUGGUUGUUGCUGUAUAUCAUGUCAUUAUCCCCAGAAAUUAAAAAUAAUAGUUGUUCUUAUACAUGUUUAGAAGAACAGAGAGAGGAGGGAAACAAUGGAACGAUUGAAAACAGAUAUGAUCGAGAUCGGUGAGGGACAACAACGCAUCAGAGAAGGGCAACGAGAAAUAAGACAAAAGUUUGAAGAGAUAGGAUCUGAAUGCCGCAGGCUCAAAGAGGAGACGAUGAACAUUGCCAAGCAGAGUGAUUACAACCAAAUCAAGAUAAACCUAAUGUUUAGCAUCUUGAAAGCCCGUGAGGACAACAACUUUGCCCAUGCUGAUCACCUUACUGGGCUCCUCCGGUUGGUUAAAUUCUCUUCGCCAUUUCUUUUCUUAAUUCUUGGGAUUCCGGAUUUCAUAAUUAAUCUUGCUAAUGCUAGCUAUUACUAGCAGGGAAACAUAAGUUAACGAACUCAAAAUAAAAGAAUCAAAAUGCACUGUUGAUAAUUAUUUUUCUCUCCAUUGUUCGUUGUGUUGCCAGCGAGGAAAUGGAAAAGAAGGAACAAGGAAAGGCAGGCCCAGUUGGCUGACUAAUGAUCAUGGAGAACAACGAGCAGUUUGCCUUUGCAGUCACUCCUGAUCGUCUUUUCUUAUUAAAAUGAAACCAUCAAAUUUAUUCAAGUUUUUUUAAUUUGAAUUUUUUUAAUUUAAUUCUUUAUGAGAUUUGUGUUUUUUUUUUUUUUUCAUUCCUUUCUGUGAGUUUAACAAGAUCUUAAAUCUUGGGUCAUUAAUGUUAUGUGAGAAAUGCCUAGAACAUGUGUAGGUCGGCUAAUGCUGCCUACAAAUAGCAAUGUUUCUGAAUCUACGCAGGUGUGCUAGUGGAGACAAAAACACCUAUUCUGAAAAGAGUGCAGUAUGUUCUGGUAGUUUUAAAAAGAAUCAGAUAAAUAGUUGAGAAAUUUAAUAUUUUAAAGUUGUUUUUAUGGGAAACAUGAUAUUUCAAAAAUAUAUUUUUUAAAUGACUUCACAAUUUACACGUGAGAGAAAAAUAGAAGAAAGAGAAAAUAAAGAUUUUAAAUAUAAACCAAAACUUUCGUUACUCGAUAUCAUAAUUUUUUUUUUUACAAUCUAAUAAUAUUAAAAAAAGUUAUAAUUACAUCAAGUAAGCAAUUAUAAUUAAAGAUAGAAAAAAAAAUUUCUAAAAUUUUCAAAAGUGAUAAGUGACUUACUUGUUUUUGAAUAAAAAAUGUAAUCCAUUUCAAUUACUAUUGAUAUUGAUGAUAUUUUUUUAUGUUAAUAAAUUCAUUUAAUCAAAACCUUUUUUAGGACCUGAGAAUAUUAUAAUCAAAGAUUCAGUAUGUCUCUGACGUUUUUGUUCUCUUUUUCUCUUUUUCCUCAUUGUUAUUUGUGCAACACAUUUAAUUUGUUUUUUGAAAUGUUAUAUUUUUUCUAGAACAAUAAAUGUCAAUUGUGAUAUAUAUAUAUAAACUUUGUUAUUUCAUCAAUUAUCUUUCAAGUCAUGUUAUUUUAUUAUUUUUUUACUAUGACAUGCAUUAAAUGUGCUAUUUCAUUAAGAGUUCUUUUUUUUUUCUUUUCAAAAUGUGUUAUUUUACUAUUUGUUUUUUUUAUUAAAAAAAACUAUGUUAAUUAGUGAGUGUUUGUUUUCUACCAUCUAUAUUUUAAAUUGCUUUUCAUACAAAAAAAACAUUCAAUUAAUGCUUUUCAACUAGAAUUAAUAAAUGCUUUUCAAUGAGAACUAUAACAUGUAUCAAAUGUGCUAUUUCAUUAAUAGUUUAAUUUUUUCAAAAUCUGUUAUUUUGCUAUAUAUUUUUUAAAAAAAUUACGUUAAUUAGCUAGUGAGUGUUUGUUUUUGCAUUUCAAUUUAUUUUUUAAAUUGCUUUUCAUAAAAAAAAAGCAUUAAAUUAAUACUUUUAAAUGUUUUUGGAUAGUUUUAUAUAUUGAUAUAAAUAAUAAAUAAAUAAAAUUAUUUUAAAAUAUUUUCAAUUAAAAAACACUGCACAACAUAAUACCAAAUACACAAUUAAUUUAUAUCAUAAUUAAUGUUCGCAUCCGCCCAAUUCUCUUUGUGGACAAAUAAAAUCUAUUCUAUUAAUGCAUGUAAAGUUAAUGAAUAUACAGUUACAAAAUGGUUUUCUCAGAAUUAUAAAAACAUGCCCCACGGUUCAAUUAUAAAGCAUGUCGACUUUUCUGGCGCUGCUCUUCGACAAUCAACGUUUUUGAAGGAAAACUUGGUGAAAUCUAGGGUUAAGAUUAAAAAAGAUGGACGGGAAGAUUAAGAUGAAGAUGAUGAUGAAGUACAACAAUCAGAUUAGCGAGAAGAACAAGCAUGAAAGUUCUGGAUGGAGAAAUUAAUAUCGUAAUUUAAUAAGAAGUUCCAGUUUUCCAGACUGCAACAGUAGAAAUGACAAGAACACCUGCUAAGAAGGCCAGUAAUCUGUCGUGAAUUGAGGAAAUUCAUGGAUAGUGGCAGCGAGAUUUAGCAUGAAGCGUUUAGCUUGUUUUCUCUAUUGUAAUUCAUGUCGCUAGAGGUAAUAGAAUUGCACUUGUCUUGCCAGCAUUUAUAGAGAUAUGACUUUGUUGAAAGGGAAAAUCGCUGAGUCAACAUUGUUGGGGACUCCAAAGGGAAUACAUGAUGGUUUAACAGUUAAUCUUUGGUCAUCAAUGCAAUUAGUUCAGGUUUGGGUUUGGAAGAUGUUCGAUGAACAGCAGCGGCCCGAGCCUAAUCUGAUGAAGAGUGGGUACCCUAGGUUGGCUCGGUGGAACAAUGAAACAGAAAGUUGAGAAUGUUUCGUUGGGUUUAGACUCGGAUAAAGAGAGUUUUAGCUCUGGAAAACUGGGAUUUCCUCAAGUUUUAUGGAAAAAAACAAAUGUGGGCGACUGUUGGUUCUAGUUUGAAUGACGAAUUAAUGGCAUUUGUUCGAUGCGUCUGGGUUUCAAUGUUCUGUGGAGUUGGCUGUUCAGAACAGUAUUUACCGCAUAGGGUUGCAAUGCAAUUCGGAACCGACGAAGAUCUUUCAGGGUUGUGUUGGUCAGUGCUCUAAUUAACAGACCUGAGAUUGCAGAGAGCUUAAAGCUUUUGUUGAAGAGCUUGAGCAGAUGAUCACACGAAUAAAAGCAGCAAGAUUAAGACUAAAAUUGUUAACCUAGCUAGCCUUCUUCGUGAGAAUGAUUUGCUUGAUUUUAUGUUAUUUGAAUUCAUGGGUUCUCUGCUGCUGUUGGCUAUGCUACUAACAUGGCAGUAAGCAUUGCAGCAGGUUCCUAAUUAAUGGAUAACUCCCACCAUUUACAACAGAUGCAGAACAAGGUUAAAAGGAUAAUAGAAAUAAAUAUAUUCAUAAAGUAACCCAGUGUGCAGACAAAUGCCGUGUGCUGCUGGACCCAACGCAGAGCCUACUAGGUGUUAUCUGUUCUGCCCACCCAAUCCUGACUAGAUAAGCACUUGAGAGUUUUUUUUCUUAUUUUAUGAAGUUGAUUUGAAGUGUUGAUUUGAUAUAAAAAAAUUUAAGGAAGAGAUAUUUUCCUUUAAUAUUAAGACCAAUUUGAUAUUUGUAGUUUAUCCUACUAAACAUAGGAUUUGUAUUUUUAUUUAAUAAUUUUAUUUUUAAAAAUUAUUUUUUAUUUGUUUAUAUAAUAGUUUAAAUAAAAGCAAUGAAAACUAGCAGAAUUCAGCAUUUAUUAAAUUGAUUCAGAUAACUUUAUAAAUAUCAAAUCCAAGCAUGAUAACUAAUUUAAAAUCAAUUAAAUAUUAAAAGAGUUUUUUUAAUAUUAAAACAAUGAUAUAUUAAAUCAUCCUAAACUUUACGGUUUAAUUUGUAAAACUCAUAAUUUAAACCAUGAACUCCACUUGAAAAAUUAAAGUUGUUACAAUCAUCAAGGACAAACAACAAUAAUAAUUCAGGAUUUUUACUGAAAGUAGAAUCCAUCAUACAUGUUGUUGAUUAUUGAGUUAUAAUCGGUCCGUACAUGAAAAUGAAUGAAUUUAGUACAGUUAUUAAACUCAGUCGACCCGGUGGAUAGAUUGGUCUGGGUUUGUUAAAAGACUAGUCGGUGCAAUAAUCCAGCAAAACCCAGUCGAUCCAUGACCUGGAUAAAACCCGAUAUUUUUUUUUUCAAAUAUAAUUUUUCUUCUAUACUCCUUUUUGUUUAUUUAUUUUUAGUUGGUUAUUAACACUUUUUAAAGUUCACUAUAUAAAUACUAGAAAAAUAUUUUAUUUUUUCAAUGUAGGAUUGAAACCUUUUAUAAUAUACUCUAUGUUCCUAAUAAAAAAGUUAUAUUUUUAAUGUAAGAUUUCAAGCCUUUUCAUAUAUAUACUUUAUGUUCAUUAGAAAAAAAAAGUAAUGUUUUUUCAAAGUGAGAUUUAAAAUCCUUUAGUAUAUAUACUUUAUGUUCCCAAGAAAAAAGUUGUUUUUUCAAUAUGUGAUUUGAAGUCAUUUCGUAUGUAUACUUUAUAUUCACAAGAAAAAUAUUAUGUAUUUUCAAUGCUAGUAACAAGUUUUUUGGUUUAAAUACUUCAACUUAAAAGGAUGACAUAAUAUAUUUUCAAUAUGAGAUUUGAAACUCUUUAAUAUACAUACCUAUAUUUCCAAGAAAAAAAAUAUUUUUUUAAUUUUGAAGUUUUUUCAUAUAUAUAUUCUAUCUUCACAACAAAAAAAUUAUGUGUUUUUUAAUGUGAGAUUUGAAAAUUUUAUUAUACUCUAUGAUCUUCCCAGAAAAAAAAUGUUUUGGAUUAAUCUAAUUAACCUGUCUACCUUCGGAGCUGAUUUAAUAACUUUGGGAUGGAAGGAAUAUCUAAAAUAGUCUUAGAGCAACUCACAUUUGUUUGCUAUCGAUUUGAAAGGAGAAAGUUGCUCUCUUGUAAUGUCUGCUUUUAAAAUCAAAAGAAUCUAACAUUAAAUGUGGGGUAUUGUUGCCGUUUCAUAUUUUUAUUUUCUGUUUUCUAAAAAUAAAAACAUUUUUUUUUUCAUAAUUUUCAGUUUUUUUCAUUUUGUUUUAAUGACUCAAGUUAGAGUAUUUGAGUUUUCAAAAUGUAUUUUAUUCAGAAAAAUAUGUAAAUAAUAUAUUUUUUUAUUUUUUAAAAAAUAUUUUUAACAUCAACCCAUCAAAAUAAUUUGAAAACAUUAAAAAUAUAUUAAUUUAAAAUUAAAAAAAAAUAAUUCUUUUUAAAAAACUUUUAAAACACACUGACAAACAUGUUAUCACCACCUUUAUUUUCCCAUAUUUAGAAGUUAUUUUCAAAAACAGAAACCCAAGAUACAAAACGGCAACCAUGACCAUGCCAGGGCUUAAACAAAAGCUCUACAAGACCAAUCCACGAGAGUUAAACUCCAUUUAAUCAAGAUUUGAAUGUGCUGGGCAAUGAAAGCCCACGAUUAUAUAUAUAUAUAUAAAAAAAAAAAAUCAAAGAGAGUGGAAUGCUUGACUAUAACUGGAAAACCAAGCCUAGUCCAAUAAAUCCAUGUAAAAAUCCGAUAAUUCAGAACCUAGAUUAAUUGCUAGCUCAGUUGAUGAUCAUGAUUUAUGACCUAAUCAAUUUAAUUACAUUAAUGCUGACCAUGAUUUAGUCAAGAUUUAUCCUAGUUAAAAGAAAAAAGAAAUUCCAUAAAAUCUUAACCUGAUAAUCGAGGUCAUUUUCUUCGAGCAAGCAACGAAUCUCAAACAAAGAAAAAAAAAAACACUAGGUGAAAUCAUCAGUCCUCAACCUAGAUAUGUGGUGGCAUUCGUCUUCCCUUAAUAUCCUUCUUCCUUUGAUGAAGUUUUCAUUUGAUUAAGGAUUUACGUUCUCUGUUCCGAGUUGAAUGUUUUGAGUGACAGUACAUACUAGGUGAAUUGCCCGGCGAUGCCACCGGUUGUUAUAUAAACACGAUGUAAGCAUUCGGUUGAGUAUAACCGGCGGUAAUCGAAGAAGAAGACAGGUAGACAGAAUUAAACAAAAUGAAACAAAAAAAUACCAGAAGUAUUGAGGUUAAACAAUGCAACCACAUGCUUUAUGUUAGAGAAACGUAAAGUCUUAACUAGCUUGUUUAGAUUUGCAGUAUUCGGUUGUUUUUUUAUUUUAAAUUUAUUUUUAAUAUUAACAUAUUAAUUUUAAAAUAAAAAAAUUAAUUAAAAAAUCAUUUUUUUACCAAAAAAUAGUGUGGCUUUAAUAACAAACAGUCUGGAAAAAUCUCAAAUACAAAGCCAUAUGUGCAUAUAAUAAAUAGUAAUUAAUUUGAGGGUAUUAUUAAAUUAAUCAGGUUCUUAGUUUGCUUUCAAAAGGUUAUUAGUUCAAGUUCUGUAAAUUUUAAAAUUAUUAGAGGUUUAUUUGGUCGUUACUUUUAGGACCUGGAUUUCUAGGAAUUAGUUUUAAAAUUUUUAGGAAUUAGUCAAGUUACACAAAAACUACUCGAAUAUUCAUAAUUAUUAAAAUAAUAAUAAUAUAAUAAUAAUAAUAAUAAUAAUAAUAAAUAAAUAAAGAAAAAAAGAGCUCCAGACUUUUUGACCGUGCAUUCUCAUUUCACUUUGAAUUCUAGUGAAAUUGUUAUUUUCUUUUGGAAAACCAAAAAUUGUUUAACUUUGUCUCAGGUGUAGAAAGGUGUUUUCAAUGGGAUAGGGACAAGUUAGUAACAGAUCAAUUCAGAUCAUUAUGAAUAUUCGAGUGUUAGUUUUUGCAAUAUGUAUUUUAAAUUGCUUUUCAUAAAAAAAUAAUAUUAAAUUAAUAUUUUUAAAUGUUUUUGGAUGGUUUUAUAUAUUGAUAUAAAUAAUAAAUAAAAAAUUAUUAAAUUUUUUUUAAUUAAAAAACACUAUACAACAAAACACCAUAUACACAAUUAAUUUAUAUCAUAAUUAAUAUUCGCAUCCGCCCAAUUCUAUGUGGACAGAUAAAAUCUAUUUUAUUAAUGCAUGUAAAGGUAAUCAAUACAGUUACAAAAUGGUUUUCUCAGUAUUCUCAAAACGAGUCCCAUGGUUCAAUUGUAAAGCAUAUCUACUUUUCUGGCGCUGCUCUUCGACAAUCAACGUUUUUCAAGGAAAAAUGGUGAAAUCUAGGGUUAAGAUUAAAAAUGAAGAUGGAAGGGAAGAUAAGGAUGAAGAUGAAGAUGAAGCACAACAAUCAGAUUAGCGAGAAGAACAAGCAUGAAAGUUCUGGACGGAGAAAUUAAUAUCGUAUUGUAAUGAGAAGUUCCAGUUUUCCAGACUGCAACAGUAGAAACGACAAGGACACCUGCUACGAAGGCCAGUAAUCUGUCGUGAAUGACGAAAUUCAUGGAUAUUGGCAGCGAGAUUUGGCAUGAAGCGUUUAGCUUGUUUUCUCUUAUUGUAAUUCAUGUCGCUAGAGGUAAUAGAAUUGCACUUGCACCUGCUGUUCUUGCCAGCAUUUAUAGAGAUAUGACUUUGUUGAAAGGGAAAAUCGCAGAGUCAACCUUGUUGCGGAUUCCAAAGGGAAAACAUGAUGGUUUAACAGUUGAGCUUUGGUCAUCAAUGCAAUUAGUUCAGGUUGGGGUUUGGAAGAGGUUCGGUGAACUGCGGUGGCCGGAGCCUAAUCUUAUGAGGAGUGGCUACCCUAGGUUGGCUCGGUGGAACAUUGAAACAGAAAGUUGAGAAUGUUUCGUUGGGUCUAGACUCGGAUAAAGAGAGUUUUAGCUCUGGAGAACUGGGAUUUCCUCAAGUUUUAUGGAGAAAUCCCAGUUUUUGGUCAAUGCUCUAAUUAACAGACCUGAGAUUGCAUAGAGCUUAAAGCUUUUCUUGAGCAGAUGAUCACACGAAUAAAAACAGCAAGAUUAGGACUAAAAUUGGUAACCUAGCCUUCUUCGUGAGAAUGAUUUGGUUGAUUUUCUUUGCUUUGCUAGCUAUGUUAAUUAGCAACUCAAGCUUGGCUUUGACAAAUGAAGCAGAUGAAAGUGUUUGGGCUUUAAGCUUUUCAUGACCAACCACUUUUGGCCGGAGAUUGAAUUCAUGGCUUCUCUUCUUCUGUUGGCUCUGCUACUAACAUGGUAGUAGAGCUUUCGACUGUCAGGCAUGGCGUCACUACCGCCAAAGAGAGGCUGCCCCCCCUUGAAGUUGAAUAUGACUCAUCGGAAGCUCUUCGAUGCCAGUCCUCACAUCUUAAUGUACAGUCAAAUGAGGUGUGCUGGACCCAACGCACAGUCUACUAGGCUUUAUCUGUUCUGCCCACCAAUUCUGACAAGACAAGCAUUUGAGAUUUUAAUCGAUUUUAUCCUGUUGAUUUGAAGUGUGUGAUUUGAUAUAAAAAAAUAUGAAGCAGAAAUAUUUUUGUUUAAUAUUAAGGACUUGAUUUGAAAUUUCUAGUUUAACUCGCCAAUAUCUCUAACAGUUUAAUGAUUUUAUUUUUUAUUUAAUUAGAUAAUAAUAAAAGUAAAAAUUUAUAAAAUUAAAUAUUUAAUUGAAAGGGUGAUAACUUUAUAAAAUAAUAAAUUAUAAUAAUAAAAAAAUAAGAUUGCUAUGAUGAAGAGUCGCCAUAAUAUUUUUCAAAUCUAAAGAGAGCAAUAUAUAAUUCUUGAAGGGCUAAUAUGAAAACAACGAUAAUAAUUAAUGAUUUUUAUGAAAAUUAAAUUUAUUAUAUAUGCUAUUGGUUAUUGGAAAAGACCUAUUGUACCUAUAAAAAAUAUAUUUAAAUAUUUAAAUAUUUAAAGGAGUUAUUUGAAAAAAAUAUAUAGGCCCACGAGGGGUGGGCUGGUUUAAAUUUCUGGCGUUAUCGUGCGAUUACACGCGAAAAUCUACCUAGCUCGAGCGGACAAAAGACGUGAUAUUGAUUAUUGAUUACAGAUCUGAAUCCUCUGUAUAAAUUAACUGCUAUUGUGAAGAGCCCUAGUCAUUAUAAACACAACUUUCACUUUCAAUAGAAAGGAAGUCAGUCAAUACGGGUGUUUGCAGCUAUGGAUUCGAUCAAGCCUUUAGCCCCGAGCCGCCGCGUUUCCAAGUCCAAACACAGGAAACAAUGGGUACGAAUCAAAUCUAGUUAUAUUUCUAUGUUUUUCUUAAAAAAAGAUUAUUCUUAAUGCUUGUUUCUUGACUGGUUGUUGCUAUAUAUCAUGUCAUUAUCCCCAGAAAUUAAAAAUAAUAGCUGUUCUUAUAUAUAUAUAUAUUAAGAAGAACAGAGAGAGGAGGGAAACGAUGGAACGAUUGAAAACAGAUAUGGUAGAGAUCGGCGAGGGACAAAAACGCAUAAGAGAAGGGCAACGAGAAAUAAGACAAAAGUUUGAAGAGAUAGAAUCUGAAUGCCGCAGCCUCAAAGAGGAGACGAUGAACAUAGCCAAGCAGAGUGAUUACAACCAAAUCAGGAUAAACCUAAUGUUUAGCAUCUUGAAAGCCCGUGAGGACAACAACUUUGCCCAUGCUGAUCACCUUACUGGGCUCCUCCGGUUGGUUAAAUUCCCUUCGCCAUUUCUUUUCUUAAUU
rnacentral:lncRNA from 1 species